ACGUACACUCCUACGGGAGGCAGCAGUGGGGAAUAUUGGACAAUGGGCGCAAGCCUGAUCCAGCCAUGCCGCGUGAGUGAUGAAGGCCCUAGGGUUGUAAAGCUCUUUCACCGGUGAAGAUAAUGACGGUAACCGGAGAAGAAGCCCCGACUAACUUCGUGCCAGCAGCCGCGGUAAUACGAAGGGGGCUAGCGUUGUUCGGAUUUACUGGGCGUAAAGCGCACGUAGGCGGACUAUUAAGUCAGGGGUGAAAUCCCGGGGCUCAACCCCGGAACUGCCUUUGAUACUGGUAGUCUUGAGUUCGAGAGAGGUGAGUGGAAUUCCGAGUGUAGAGGUGAAAUUCGUAGAUAUUCGGAGGAACACCAGUGGCGAAGGCGGCUCACUGGCUCGAUACUGACGCUGAGGUGCGAAAGCGUGGGGAGCAAACAGGAUUAGAAACCCUGGUAGUCCC
rnacentral:rRNA from 1 species